GAGAGAACGAGAGCGAUAAAGAGAGAGAGAGAGAGACAAAAAGAAAGAGAUAAAUAGAGAGAGCGAAAUAGAGAGAAAGAGUAAGAUGAAGAAGAGUGGGGGUCGAACCAGUAUUGUUUCUCUUUCUCUUUUUUUUGUGUUAUUGUUUGUUUUUUAUUUUGAUGAAGUCGUUUUGGAUGAGAACGAAAUCAAAGAAACUUCUUCAAUCUGUUUUGAACCUUUUCAUUUCCUCUCUUUGAUUGCUCAUCCCCUCGUUGAA
rnacentral:rRNA from 13 species